rnacentral:lncRNA from 1 species
AUGUUCGGUGGGUUUUCACUCUCUGGUGUUUUGUAAUAAAGAAAUCCUUCUUUUUGGGGGGGAAGCCAAUUAAUGAAGUAGACUUGAAUGGUUUUAGAAAUACAGGGAUGUCUGUUUCUUUGUGCUUCUGCCUCAUUUCUUUACUUGUGCCUAGUGUGAAUGACCGGACCCCUCCUCCACCUCUUGACCCCCUUCCUUUGAGAGGGUUCUCAGCCUAUUGGGGCAGAGAGAGGGACCCUACUGUGUCUGGUACCUCUCUGGGACCACUUGGAUUGGCUCAACUGGUAACCUAGCAACCUAGCCCUCCUCCCUCUCCCGGUGGCCUGGCCCUGUUAGUCCUUUUCUUCCAGCUCGGUUCAUUUUAUCCCCCUGAGGCUGGGGCCAGGCUAGGGGAAAAUCACCAAGGGAUCAUAGUAAAUGGUCUUAAACAAGUGAUAAUUUGCUCUUGUGCCUUCGUGUUGCUAAAGAAGACCGGUGCUUCCAAUAAUUCAAAAAGCCUUAAGAAUACAUUCUAGUAAUUGCUUGCUGUCUUAGGCAGUGGGUUCUGGAAAUAGUAUCGAAGGCUAAAACUGAGACUAUCAUUAGUUUUAAAGGAAGCAAACCCAACUCACAAAGAAGGGAGGAGUCAUUGUGUUUUUCAUGUUUGGGAUAAAUAUGAAAGAGGAAUUGGAAGUAGAAAUCUGCUUCUGUAAACAAUCAAAUGCCCUGUAGGACAUCAGUGUAGGUAGAAAAAUGUAGCAUGAUUAUCCGGGUCAAAUUAUUAUCCAAAUAAACUCAAAACGAGUCCCUGUUGUGGUGCAGUGGAAGCAAAUCUGACCAGUAUCCAUGAGGUUGUGGGUUCCAUCCCUGGCCUCGAUCAGUGGGUAGGGGAUCUCAGCCAUGUCUGCAACCUACACCACAGCUCAUGGCAAUGCCUGAUCCUUUAACUCACCGAGUGAGGCCAGGGAUCGAACCCGAAUCCUCCGGGAUACUAGUUGGAUUCUUAACCUGCUGAGCCACAGUGGGAACUCCCCAUUCAUGGAUUUUUAAGUUACCAAUACGAUGUACCUGUCUUAGUCGUCCUUUGUAGUUGUUGCAUUCACAAUGAAUCUGCAUAUACAAGUGGAAGCAUCUGAUUGUUAGAUCUUUUAGUAUGAUCUUGCACAGGCAUUACGUACUGGAAUAUAUAUUAUCUUGUUUUGGUUUGGGGGGUUUUUGGCCAUGCCUGCAGCAUAUAGAUGUUUCCAGGCCAGGGAUCAAACCUGUGCCACAGCGGCAACAAUGCCAGAUCCUUAACCUGCUCAGCCACCAAGGAACUCCUGAAAUAUAUAUUAUCUUAGAAACUCAUUUUUAUUUUUCCUUUCUACUAUAGUUAGUGUAUUAUAUUGCUAUUCUGGAAAUUAUAUCUAUAUUAACUAUGAAAUUCAUUUCAAGGUAGCAAAGGGUACAUUACAAGGUAUUGUAUACACUAAGAGAGGGGUGGGGCUGAUAGGGUUGAGAAUUGUUGGACUAGAUUAUCUCAAAGGUUCCUUUCUACCCUCUAAAUAUUUAGAAAACUCAGAAAAUCAACAAACAUCCCCCCAUUCCCCUACACUGUUAAUGUGCUGUUUAAAUUUUGAAAGUAGGAGUUCCUGUCGUGGCGCAGUAGCAGAAACAAAUCCGACUAGGAACCAUGAGGUUGCAGGUUCCAUCUCCAGCCUAGCUCAGCGGGUUAAGGAUCCAGUGUUGCUGUGAGCUGUCGUGUACGUUGCAGACGUGGCUUGGAUCUUGUGUUGCUGUAGGUCUGGGGUAGGCUGGCAGCAACAGCUCUGAUUAGACUCCUAGUCUGGGAAUCUCCAUAUUCCAUGGGUGCGGCCCUAAAA